rnacentral:rRNA from 1 species
UACGGGGGGGGCAAGCGUUGUUCGGAUUCAUUGGGCGUAAAGGGUGCGUAGGCGGCGCGGUAAGUCGGGUGUGAAAUCUCGGAGCUUAACUCCGAAACUGCAUUCGAUACUGCCGUGCUUGAGGACUGGAGAGGAGACUGGAAUUUACGGUGUAGCGGUGAAAUGCGUAGAUAUCGUAAGGAAGACCAGUGGCGAAGGCGGGUCUCUGGGCCGAUACUGACGCUGAGGAGCGAAAGCGUGGGGAGCGAACAGG